rnacentral:rRNA from 1 species
UGGGGAAUAUUGGACAAUGGGCGAAAGCCUGAUCCAGCCAUGCCGCGUGUGUGAAGAAGGUCUUCGGAUUGUAAAGCACUUUAAGUUGGGAGGAAGGGCAUUAACCUAAUACGUUAGUGUUUUGACGUUACCGACAGAAUAAGCACCGGCUAACUCUGUGCCAGCAGCCGCGGUAAUACAGAGGGUGCAAGCGUUAAUCGGAAUUACUGGGCGUAAAGCGCGCGUAUGUGGUUUGUUAAGUUGGAUUUGAAAUCCCCGGGCUCAACCUGGGAACUGCAUUCAAAACUGACUGACUAGAGUAUGGUAGAGGGUGGUGGAAUUUCCUGUGUAGCGGUGAAAUGCGUAGAUAUAGGAAGGAACACCAGUGGCGAAGGCGACCACCUGGACUAAUACUGACACUGAGGUGCGAAAGCGUGGGGAGCAAACA